CGUGAUCAGUAAAAAUUGUGUAUUUUCACGUGAAUUCAUUUUCCGGAAUUCCUUACUCCGUCAUAGAAUAGUCGAAAAACAAAAAGGGGUUCCGAAAGUGUUUUGUUGCUGUGACUGACUCGCCUACAGAAAAUAUGCACAUACCACAUAAGUAUACGUCAAUGUCUGUAAUAAUGGUAGAUCAAAUGUUUUAUCUGUGUGAAACUUUUUGCUAAUCGAAAUGUUAAACCAACCACCAAUCCAUGUACAUAGAUGCGCUACGUAAACAAAGUUGUUGAUUGAUGCAUCGUAAUGUCCGAGUGCUGCAUGCUGAGAGAUUAAAUACUGUUUAUACAGUCAUUGAGAGGCUAAACAAAGUUUCUUACAAGAAGAUGAAGUUGGUGGAUGCAUUCAACUUGGACAACGAAAUCAUAGUUUCGUUUGGCAUCAGCCUGAAGACCGAGGGAGGUUAGAUAGGACCAGUGCAGGUUGAAGUGGAUUUCAAGUCAACAAGUAUAACAGCAAGAGAGGUACUCCAUUUACAGUGAUGAUGACAUAUCCCCUGGACCUCCACAAAUUAAAAAAAAAUUGAUCAAGUUCCGAAGAUUAAAGAACUACUGCAAAAUUUGGGACUGGAUGAAAAACAUUAAUUCACUUAUAUGAGCUCAAAGCAGUGGAUGUUAUACAACAUACUUUAAACUAAAUUGUGAAUUUAAGGGAAAACAAGUACAUGUCAUGUACUCGUAUAUUACAAGUACAUGCCUUUUGAAAGACAAUAAUAUUGCAUAGAUGUAUAAAGGAAAUUUCAAUGUUGAUUAUUCUUUCUUAGAUAUAUUAGUAAAAAAUGUGCACAUGAUAGAAUAUCAAUUUUAUAACUUCAAUCAAUGUGUUUGAAUUUUCCUUGUAAUUCAAAAUUUAGUUGAAACAUACAUCAUAGAUACAUUAAUGUAUAUCAAAUUUUUAGAAAAGUUUCAUAAUGGAACUAAUUCACCCCCCCCCCCCCUUAUACAUACAGUGAACAUAGACCUUCACCUGGGGAAAACUUCAGUUAGUUAAUGCAAUAUACAUGUACAUGCAUUCUCAGUUAUCCAAUAGUGAGUUUUUGGUUCCAUGUGAAACUACAAUUAGAAAUCUUAAAUUUAUGAAAGACACACCUAUCUGUGAGGGUAAGAUGACUCAGAUGGACUUACAUGUAGUGAUCCAUGGGCAGUCCAUGGGUCUCUUUCCAUUGAUAUUAAUUAUUUAUUGAAAUAUGAAAUGGUUAUUUAAACAUAUUUGGUGUAUUAUACUGUAUAGUGAUAUAAAUUUCUAUCAAAAAAUAUGUAUAGGUAAUAGAUUCGGUCCAGUUAUUACAAGAAAUUGUAUGAAAAAUAACUAAAUAUUUAGGCAAUCAUUGUGAGUGCGAAAAGGUCAACUGCAAUAGCACACACUAUAUAUCAUUCUUAAAUGGCUCAUAGAAACUUCUAGUAUUGUGAUGUUGAAUGCUCAAUAUGGUAAUUUGGGAAUGCUUAAUCAUUUAAGGCCAAUAGUUUAUCUCUGCUGACUGUAUCUCUUAAAAUUCAUUUCUAGAAGGGAGGGGGGAGGGUUACAAAAUCUGACAUAGUUUCAGAUUAAACCUCAUUUGGUAUAUUUUUUUCUAUUCAAUAUUUUAGAUAAUACUUGACUUAUUGUAAAAAUGAAAUAAAAUCAGAAAUUUUAUGAACAGAAUUUUGUUGUUGUCAGAAAAUGUAUGCCUGAUAGUAUUUGAGAAACGCCAUAUUUAGGGUAAAUUUGGCCAAUUGCCAAGUCGAAUCCUGCCAAUGUUUUCCUUAGAUGCAUUUUGAAUUUCUAAUCCAUGUUGAUUUUUUAUCUGUUUGUGUUUAAUUUACAUAACUAUAUAUGACAAACAAUA